GGGUAAAAUGUGAAUUUCGUUGUAGUUUGAGCCUACCUACAAAUUCUGCCCUUGAAGGAUUUGGACCGCCUUCUUCGGUGAGGGCAGGCAAAAACGAUCCGCCCAUAGGCUCAAAACAUUUGCGUGCGAUUGUACAUGUGAACAAUCCAGUAUAUUGAAAAUCCGUAAUGUCAGGGGUCCUUAAAGAUGUGGCUGGUCUUUUAAAAUUUAUAAAAGGACGAAAAUCGUUCGGACGUGUCAUACACAAGAUGCAGAUUUUGUCAGUUGGAAAUGGUAAAUGUUCCGUCGAAUUAAAAAUCGAAGAUGAACAUGUGAACACUAUGGGUUUUUUACACACAGGGUUAACUAGCACACUUAUGGACUGCAUUUCUGGGUUCGCUCUUAUGACGAAAGUGCCUAAUACACAUGUGUCUACGGACAUGCACAUUAGUUGUUUAAAGCCGGUUCUGCGCGGAGACACUUUACUAAUAGAUGGGUGGGUGCAAAAAUCAGCGAAAACCUUGGCUUUUUUGGAGGUGGAAAUGAGAGAUAAGGUGUCUGGGGAGGCGGUGGUUAGAGGAAUCCACACGAAGU